rnacentral:lncRNA from 1 species
CUCAACCUCUCAGUCCCGUUAAUUGCACCAUCGAAUGACCCCACCGAAACCCAGACGAAAAACCCCCAAAUUUUACCCAUAAACCAAACUCAGUCCGCUGCCUCCUCCAGCUCAAAGGCGAAAGGCGUAGUUGUUUCUUUUCUCCUCUUAUUUUUGUAAUUUGAUCUGCAUAUUAUAAUUUGAUAACUUUUGGAAGGUUUGAAAAUUUGAAAGCAGAACUAUCUUGUGUGUUUUAACGAUUGAUUUACGAAUCCCUACAUCAUGAGUUUCAGUUUCCAGAUUAAUUAAUCAGUAUCUUGUGGAUUUUAACAGGUGCGAAAUCUCUAGUUGUUUGGACUCAGGUAAAUUUGGUGUCGAAACCACUUUUGAAUAUGUGUUUGUGAUUCUGUCGAAGCCACUCUUGGCCUCUCCUCCUUUUCAUUGUGAAGUUGGACUCUUCAAAGGUGACAUGUUUGAAUCAUUUUUAGGGUUCCAUUUGACAGCGCACUCGCACUAGCCCAAAUUUCUUUAUAAUUAGGGAGUCUGUGAAUCAUUUUGCAUUUCAAGGUAUGAACUUUGCCCUUAUUUACACUUGCACUAACCUUCAAUUGUCAUCAUAAAUUUGCCACAUUCUCCUAAUGCUUGAAUUCCUUGUUUUUUUUUUUCCUUCUUUUUGAAGUAGAUUAAUUAAUUAAUUAAUUAGUUAACGCAUUCAUUCAAAUGAAGGAUUGACGCAUUCUUUUACUGUUUAAGCUAAUUUUGAGUUAUUCCCUACCCUUUUACCCAUUUAUCUUGAUUAUUAAUGGUCAUCUAUCUCUAUGGUAGGUAUUAACUGCGGCAUUGUGAUUAAAUGUCAUCUUCUGCUUUCCUCGAAUUUACUAAUUCAUGACUCUUAGAUUCUCCUCAUUUUUUAUACUUCCUUGAGCUUGUGGAUGUAUCUUUUAAAAAUAUCCAUUACAAUUGUCUUAAUAUCUUGGAAAAAUUUGGUGUAGAGGAAUGGAAAAAGACUUGAAGAUGAGCUGCCCCUUGAAGCAAAUGGAGACUACACCAAGUCAAGGAGGAGGAGCUUAAUU